rnacentral:rRNA from 1 species
CCUACGGGUGGCUGCAGUGGGGAAUAUUGCACAAUGGGCGCAAGCCUGAUGCAGCCAUGCCGCGUGUGUGAAGAAGGCCUUCGGGCUGUAAAGCACUUUCAGCGGGGAGGAAGGCGUUAAGGUUAAUAACCUUGGCGAUUGACGUUACCCGCAGAAGAAGCACCGGCUAACUCCGUGCCAGCAGCCGCGGUAAUACGGAGGGUGCAAGCGUUAAUCGGAAUUACUGGGCGUAAAGCGCACGCAGGCGGUCUGUCAAGUCGGAUGUGAAAUCCCCGGGCUCAACCUGGGAACUGCAUUCGAAACUGGCAGGCUAGAGUCUUGUAGAGGGGGGUAGAAUUCCAGGUGUAGCGGUGAAAUGCGUAGAGAUCUGGAGGAAUACCGGUGGCGAAGGCGGCCCCCUGGACAAAGACUGACGCUCAGGUGCGAAAGCGUGGGGAGCAAACAGGAUUAGAUACCCCGGUAGUC